rnacentral:lncRNA from 1 species
CUGGGAGGUACCUGGUUGGAGGUGAGGAAGGACGUAUUUUCUUCCCCUUCCGCCAUGAUUGAGGAGAUGACCUCAAGACAAGCAGCUUCCAUGCAAUACUGCAGCAAGGGCUUACUUUCCUGAGCAUUUCCCACGCUCCAAUCACUGCUCUAAUUCCUUUAGAUGUGUUAACUCACUUCCUGCUCACAAUACUUCUAUGAGGCACUCAGCAGCUGUUUCCUGAGCUGAUGUACAUCUCAUUAGUCUAUCAAGCUCCAACAGCCAAGGCCAAGGCCCCCAGAAUGAAAAACUGACGCAGCCACCCCUUCCUGUGCCAGAGACAGGAGAAGGGAGGGAGACUGACGGCCUUUGUUCUCUGAGCAAGACCGUAAAGCACUUCGCCUACAGGCCACAAGAGGGCGAUGGUGGUCCACACAUAAGAUCUUCCCAAAGAGCCAGCCAAAAACGCCUGCCUGGAGAAUCUGGAGGUUGUGAAAGGUGACUUUGUUAAGGAAGGGCGAUGGCCCUUCUCCCUGCCCCAGAGCUCUGAAAGCCUUUAAAGUGGCUUUAGCAGCGUGGUUUAAGAAUGGCUCCUUCGGUACAAGGACGGCCAUCACUGCUUCUCCUACUGUGUUUGAUGCCAGCGUUCUUCCCGUCUGCAGGGAAGGACGGAGAGUGAGGAGGGCACACAGGACGUAGCUGGCUCCUGGCCAUGGACGGUGACCGCUCUGGGGCCAGCAGGGUAGAGCUGCCUUCCUACAUCUGAGAACUCAAGGGCGAGAGGGAGGCAGGGCAGGGGAGAGGGUUGGUCUCAGUUCACAGGGCGACCCUCUGGCCCUGGUUCUGACGGCGACUCGCUGUGUAAGCUAAGGAGUGUCUCGCUCUGUACAGCGGGCAGGUGGUGGGUCUCUGCACGUCCAGCAUCUCCAGCUUUCCGUCCUCUGAGCUGUUUUGACAUGGGAGGCGCUGGCAGGGAGAGAGGGGUCACUGAUGUGGGAAGCUGGUGCAGAGCUGGGGAGUAGCUUGUGAUGCUGGAGAACCUGGAGAUGCCCCUCCCAUUCCUUGGGCCUCGACUGUCUCAUCUGUGGAAUGGGCGGGUCAGACUGGAUAAUCUCUAACCAUUGCUUCCCUUCACUUCUGUCCCAAUAAACACACACGGAGCUUUUUCGUUUGUCUUUUGUCUUUUUUUUUUUUUUUUUUUUUUUUUUAGAGACGAGGUCUCACUAUGUUGUUCCCCAGGUCUGAGUACAG